rnacentral:rRNA from 1 species
AACGAACGCUGGCGGCAUGCCUAACACAUGCAAGUCGAACGAGACCUUCGGGUCUAGUGGCGCACGGGUGCGUAACGCGUGGGAACCUGCCCUUAGGUUCUGAAUAACUCCCCGAAAGGGGUUCUAAUACCGGAUAAUGUCUUCGGACCAAAGAUUUAUCGCCUUUGGAUGGGCCCGCGUUGGAUUAGCUAGUUGGUAGGGUAAAAGCCUACCAAGGCGACGAUCCAUAGCUGGUCUGAGAGGAUGAUCAGCCACACUGGGACUGAGACACGGCCCAGACUCCUACGGGGGGCAGCAGUGGGGAAUAUUGGACAAUGGGCGACAGCCUGAUCCAGCAAUGCCGCGUGAGUGAUGAAGGCCUUAGGGUUGUAAAGCUCUUUUACCCGGGAUGAUAAUGACAGUACCGGGAGAAUAAGCUCCGGCUAACUCCGUG